AGUCCUUCCCUCCUGUGGCUGGUGGGGUUGUUCCCGGUGGAAGAAUAGGACCUACAAUUGGCAAAGGCGGCAAUGGCAGAUUGGGACCUACCACUGGAGGUAUGGGUAGCCCUGAAAUCGGAGGAAGGGGUAGCUUAGGGACGGUCACUGGAGGAACGGGUAGCUUAGGUACAGUUACCGGGGGAACGGGUAGCUUAGGGACUGUCACUGGAGGAACGGGUAGCUUGGGGACGGUCACUGGAGGAACGGGUAGCUUGGGGACGGUCACAGGAGGAACGGGUAGCUUAGGUACAGUCACUGGUGGAACGGGUAGCUUAGGGAUGGUCACAGGAGGAACGGGUAGCUUAGGGACGGUCACCGGAGGGACUGGUAGCUUAGGGACGGUCACCGGAGGAACUGGUAGCUUAGGGACGGUCACCGGAGGAACUGGUAGCUUAGGGGCUUUAGGGGAGUGCUUUCCGCCCUUCCGUGGGUUGCAAGAGCCGCAUGCGAGAGAAUGUUGGGGGAGAUAGAUAAUGCAAAUGAGGAAGAGGCAAAGAGAGAGAGAUGAGAGUUUGGAGGAGUCCAUGUUGAGUAGAGUGGAUGGUGUAACUAUACGAAAGAGUAUAUGAAUAUAUAGAGGGAAAAUGAGAAGAAGAAUUCACGUGAAGAUGGGGGCUACUUCUGCAAUAAGAAGAGACGCCCCAAAAUAAGCAUGGUUGGCAAUUAUCAUAAGAAUACAAGAUUUCCUUGAUGACCCAUCGCUAUAUAUCAUCACAUGUCGACCACACUUUUUUCACUUUUUUUUUUCUAAGUGCCUCUUGUUCUUGGGUUAACUACAACUUUUAACAACGUGUAACUUCAGUUUCAACAGUACAGUACAUUUAACUUGUAGGAAUUGUAAUGAAUCAACUUAGCGAGACUAGGUCAUUAUGAGAUAUCAUCAAUACUAAAUAACAUUUUGAUGAUGUAAACACUCUAGGAAAAGCAGAUAAUAUAGUAUCAUAUGGUUUUCGCUUUAGUGUGUGGCUUCAUAAGCAUCUCCAUGCAUGAGUCGACUGCUAAGGAACAUAUAGAUCUGCACCAUAGUGAAGACGGCUUAGUCUAUUCAAAACACUAAUGUUGUGCCUUUCGAGGACCUCCCGAGACUCGAAUUCGAAUGCACUCUCCAAAGGUAUUAUGUUAGGGAAAAAACCUUAUUAAACCAAAUAUGUUACUGUUUAACCCAUACACGAAAAUUAGAUAUAUAAAUGUUGAACAAAUAGCAUAUAGUUAUAUCCAAUAUAUACGUACAUGAGAGGUAAAGAAGACAGCAAGACUGACAUGUGAAAUUCGGGAUACACUUUUGUUGUUUGGUGAUUUUGUUACGUAGUGUCAUUAAAGAAACGAUCAUGUGUGCGUGGACCAUCUUCUUCUUUUUACCGCUCAUUUCCCUUUUUACCAUAUCUACUACAAAAGAGUCCGAACUGACCAUUUAAUGAACGAGUACCAUUCAAUUCAUAAACUCCCCGUAUCAAUCUAACUGACACUGUAAAAGUUAUAAUGUUAAUAUAUAAAAAUAAUAUGGUUAUUUAGCAUGAAUAAUAACUUUUUAUAAUUGAGAGUAUGUCUAGCUAACAUUGGUGAUUGGUGCUUACAUAAAUCAUAUUUUUCAAACCACUUAACAAGAACUUUACAUAUUCAAUGAUAAACGAAUCACAUUUAUACAAUAUACCAUUCAAAAAUAAUAUUGUAAGAUGAUUUGAAAUUAAACGAUUGUAAUAUAUAAUGUGUUAAAAGUAAUGUAUUAUAGAUAUCUUGUAAUUAUUUAAAGGGUUUUGUGCAAAAAAAAAAACCACUAACUCAUACAUUUUUCCAAUUUACUAUCCAGCUCUAAUAAAUGCACAUUAAUCCUAUGAAUCUAAAAUAAUACGCAUUGUAACCCUUUUUGACCAUUUUUUGCUACCAUCAAUUUUGUAAAAUAUUGAUAUAUAAUAUGUUAAAUCAAAGCUCUCGCGACCAAGAGUUCAACUCUACCUUUAAAAAUUUUAAAAUGUAAUGUAUGUAACCGUAAAAACGCUUGUAAUAUGCAUAUGAAAUUUAUAUUACAUAUUAUGUUAAACUUCAUAAGAUUAAUCUGCAUUUGUUGGUAGUGCAUUUGUUAGAGGUGGAAGGUAAUGUUGCAAAAAUAGAUGAGUUAAAAGAUUUCUUUUUGCACAAAACCCUUUAUUUAAACUACUAACAAUAUAAUAUAUAAAUAAUUUAAAACAUAUAUCUCUAUAAUUCAUGAAGUAAUAAUGGUGUACCCUAUCCUUACCAACGAAUAAUAAAGAAAUGAUAUUAACUCUGAUUCAAAAGCUAUAUAUAAGAUAUUCUUUUUUUUUCCUCGGGAGGGAUACGAAUCCGGUAACAUGAAUCAGUGUCCAAUAAGAGCCAGUGGUCGUAAAUUCCAAAUGACAGAUGGAUGACUCAUUUUAAUUCGUAACUUUUGUCAGCUGCGAUAUAUGCUAAUGAAACCUGAGGUGCUAGAUUUUGAUUUUAAUGGCUUUAGAUUCUUACUCAACACUCAAUGGCCCACUCGUUAAUCUCUUACCUUCUAAAGUGAGUUAUGAUCCACUGCUUCUUUCUUCUUGUAGAUAGAUGGACCUGUUUUUUUUAGGUUGUGAUUUGUGGACAUUAAUCAACAACCCAUGUUUAUACGUGAUAAUGUCUGGAGCUAUAUGUAAAGGCGAUAUGGAGGACAACAUUCCUCUAUUCUAACUUUAAAAGCCAUGUAGUUAGGGCUGGACACCAAUAUUCUUUUUUUUUUUGCUAAAUUGUAAAUAUCAUUUUGAUGAAAAAUCAGGUUUUACAACAGUUGUAUAACCUAAAACAUUUGAACUCUUUGGCAAAAAAGAAUAAAAAAACGAAGAGCCAAUCGAGAGCUGCAUAGAACUCGGUAGUUUCAUAGCAGCCACAACGCUAUUAACUUGCGAAAAAGGAGUCUGUUUCUUCUUGAGGUGAUAACGUUUUUGAUUUUGCGGUUGAUGCACUUGAAUAUAGAAUGCGGAGAGAGGGAAGUAGCGUUGUGCAGGACAUUGUUAGGCUGCUUCAAGAUGUGGAAGACCUUAGACUGAACGACAAUAAUUUUAAGAACUGAUGAAGCCAAUAUUCAUCAUUUUCAAACAAAAAAUAUCUUUUGUUUGACACCAAUAUCCUUGACCAGCUUCAAACAAAGGAUAUACAUCAUUUUUAAGUCGGGUAAGGCAAAUGAGUAUAAGGAUUCUCAUUACACAUCUGGUUGCCAAAAACUUUUAGUCAAAUACUAGUUACAAUCUCAGUUUUUUACCCCAAACUUUUUGCCACUUAAAAAACUAGGGGUGGGCAUUCGGGUAAGCGGGUCGGGUUCGGGUUCGGGUAAAACCCGAUCAGGUAUAAAGAAGUUUAGGAUCUAAUAGGGUAAAUCUAAAAUAUCGGUUCGGUUUCGAUUCGGGUCCAACCGGGUUCGGAUAUAGAUUUGUGGCCUUUUUUUAUCCAGAUUUUUCGGGUAAAAUUUUGGAUUUCGGAUAAAAUUUAGAUUUUUGAAUAAAAUAUUUGGGUAUUUUCGGGUUCGAGUUUGUUUUUUCGGGUAGAGAAAUUUAGGAUCCAGUAAAGUACAUCUUCGGAUUUGGAUUAAGUUUCAGCUCUAAUUUUUCGAGUUAGUUUCGGUUCGGAUAAUCGGUUCUGGUUUUUUGGCCCGGCUCUAUAGAAAACCAUCAAUAAAUAUUUUAAUCCUAUUUCUGCCUCAUUACUCGAGAAAAUAUUCGACCCGUUUUAUUACUUGAUAAAUUUACAACUAUAUAUUUAUGUAAUCUAUUUCAUAUUAGUAAAAUAUAUUAAAUUUGUUAUUAAAACCAAAUAUCUUUUGAGAUUAGGGCAAUCAAAAGUUAAGGUCAAGCAAAUGUCUCCUUUCUAAAUGUUUUUGUGGGUAACGGUAAAGGACAAAUAUACAGCCCAUGCCCAGACCUACAAGUAGCGACUCCAUUACUACACAGUAAGAUUUUUAUUAAUAAAAAUGUGCAUGGUUUCAUUUAAAAGUCAUUGCUAACACUUCACUUUACAGUAAUAUUCAAUUUCAUACCUUUAAACGUUAAUCAGAAUCGCCAAUUGGAAGCCAGUCACUGGAAUCACCUUCCGAAUCCUUGCUAUGUCCAACUUGGCUCUUGCUGAGCUGAACCCAGCUUGACCCGCUUGCGUUUGAUGCUGGUCUUUUCAGUGUACUCCUGUUGGGACUUGGCUUCUCCGAGAGAUCAUCGACAUCUAAAUCACUAAAGGAGAUUACCUCUUCAUCUCUGAAACUCCUCCGUUGUUCUUCAGAUGACUCAUCACUUAUCUCCCUUUGCUCAAUUUUUAGAGUCUCUAUCUUGUCAAUGACUCCCUCAACGGUUUCUGUUUCCCUACUGCUACCUUCUUCAGGAGUUUCGUGACCAGUAGUGCUCUUGCUUGACCCUGUCUCUUUCUUUUGCAGCUUUAGUAAAAGUUGAUCCCUUGUUUCAAAUACCUGUGCCGCACAAUAUAGUUAUUAAAGUUUCAGAAAUAGGUACAAUAGUAACUUGGGAAAAAAUGCAGAGCAUAAAAGAUAUAAAACAAUCCAAUUUUAAAAGCAUCAGGCAAAAAUACAUUUUUUCCUGAGGCUAUACUUGUUCUUAUUGCAAUCGGUUGAAGGGGUCAUUAUAGCAUAAACGUUUACGAUUUUAAUAAUAUUGGAUCAAUACUGACAUUUCAGAAGAAUGUAUUUCCAGUAUACAGUCUUACCUUGCAUGUUGCUAAGAGUUCAAAAUCAUGCCCAUUCAGUCUCGGCAUCAGCAAAAUAAAAUAAAUCAGCCAGAAGUGUUCAUCAUCCAUGUAACUACUAACUUGAUUCUUCACAGCUACAAGGCCAGGAACCAAAUCUUCAAUGGCUGAUGCAUGUGCCCUUUGAGCCUCAGACAGUUCAAAUUCUGCAAUGUGGACAUGAAAAGUUGGAGAAAAACUUCAGCAUAAUUCAGUAGGUAAAAUUGAUGUAAACCACCAAUGCUUUUUAUCAGGAAGUGUUUCGACAACAUUUUCAAGCAAACCAAGCCUAUAUACAAAAGGUUGUACAGGAUGACGAUAUGCUUCGCAAUAAAAUAAAUAAAAAGAUUUAAGUGGCAUAUGGAUUGAACUAUAUAUAUAUAUAUAUAUAUAUAUAUAUAUCCCAAGAAGAGACUGCAGACCCCGUCAAGUUUAUUCGUAAUUCCUGGAGAUCUAUCUAAAGAACAGGGACUUCAAAAAAAAAAAUUAACUGCAGAAACAAUCAAUCUUGUCCAAACAGGUCUAGAAUAAAACACAUCAAGAGUUAAAGACUGAAGCAUAAUCAUCUUUGGCGACUGAAAACAAGUCAACUAUAUUUCCAAGAACAAUCAUGUUUAUUCCUGCAUGGCUGCAAGUUCGUCGACAAUAUCUUCAAGGUAUGAAAAAUGUGAUCUACAGAGAGUAAUGGGACCCCGAGAUCCUAAAGACCUGAGCUUGAAGAAAUAUAUCCCAAGAGGAGAUGGCAGGACCGGUCUAACCUAAUCUAAAAUACUAGGAAAUCUCUCUAAAGAACACCAGAGGCUACAAGCAAUCAACUGUACAAACAAAAAAAAUAUUUUCCUAAUAAAUCACAGUAAGAAAAUCAUAACUAAACAUAGAUAGUUAGAAACCACCAAUGCGGUGCUUCGACUAUACUUUCAAACUAACAAAGCCUAUAUACUGGGAACAAAAAUAUGCUUGAAGAAAUAUGUCCAAAUAAGCUUAAUCUGUAACCCUAGUGAUCCCACUAGAAAGCCAAUCAACUGUAGAAGCAAUCAAUCUUUUCCAAAUAAAACCUAUUUUAGUAACAAUUAUGUUUGCCUACUGGGAAAAAAAAAAGUCAAUGCAGAGCUUAAGACUAUUGAGAAUCAAGCUUUAUGAUUCCUCUAUUGACUAUACAGGAGCAUUACCAGUAUCGAGUGACAAUGGAAAAUCUGUCCAACAACCAGGUUUCGUCGAGAUUUUAACAGCGAAAUCGACUACUUCUUCAGAGAUUCCAGGAACUUGAUCGUUCAACGGAGAUCUUCUACUACUUUCUCUAUCUCUUAGAUUACUAGGAAAUUGGAGUAAAUUAGAUGCGAAAUUGGAGAAAUUUCCACGAAUCUCGGCUAGAUCGUUGCGGAUCCCGAGAAGACCUAGCUGAGUUGGUGAAUUAUCAGAGGAGAGUCGGCGUUCGUUUACAGGUGGAGAAGGAGGCGGUGCCAGGAAAGCUGCGACGCCACGGAGUAAGGAAGAUAAAUCUUCUUUGACACCGCCAUGAGUUGUGGAAGGAUCGGGAUCGGGAUCGUGAUCGUCAUCGCCGCGAGAUUUGAAGAGCCAAGACAUGGUUUUUGAGUGAGAGAGGUUGGAUUUGGGGUUUUCAGUUUUUUUUGCACGGGGUUACGAAUAGCAAGAGAGAAGAAACGGUACGUUUUAAUACCUUUCCAAAACGCACCGUUUGUUGUUUGUUCGUUUUGAUACCUUCCCAAACGUGAAAUAAACGAACAAUAAUUAUACAAAAUAAACGGAAACAAAACCUACUUUUUAAAACGGGAAAAUAUCGUUUUAUACGUGAUGUUUUUAAGAAUGGUCAUUUUAUAUGUAAACUUUUAGAUCGAUCAAAUAAAAUAUGAUAAAAAUGUUGAUCCGCUAUUUAAACAAAACAUAAAGUUUGCCUGGCCAAAAUUUCCGAAAUGUUAACUUGUAUUAACGGAUCUGAUAACCCUCGUUAGCAGACGUUAGUCGUCUUCCGUUAAUACCAAACGAUUUUUUGUGAUGAGUACAAACCUUAAAAUUCCCAAAUCGAUUUUUCAUUCCCUAAUUCUUCAUAAUCCCCAAAAUUUGAACUAUUCUCGAUAUAUUUUUUUUGAGCUCAAAAUCUCCAUUUUGUGUAGAUAUGAGUUUAAAAAAUUUGAGUGUUCAAGAAGGAGGAAGUGGGAACCUUGGGUUUCCUUCAAAGUGUCAUUGGGGGAGAGAUUUCAUCAUCUAUAUAUCAAGCUCGACGAAGAACCCAAGAAGAUCCUUCUUCUGUUGUCCAACAUAUCAAGAUGUAAGUAGAUUUGAAUUUGUUUUUUUUGGUGUUUGAUCGGUAAAAAGUUGUCGUUGUAAAUGCAGGACCAUUUGUUUAAGUGAGUCGAAGAUUGUGUGUAUGAAGAGGUUGUAGAUGCAAUACUGAUAAUCUCUAUGAUUGAUAGCUAGAUAAACAAUGUCAAAUUUCAGGUUGUAGUCGAGAUUGCAGAAUUAAAGGUUUUGAUCCAAGAAUUGAAGGAAGAUGAAAUGUGGAGCAAAAUGGAAUUGAAGAUAUGGAAAUCGAUGACCAAAUUGUGCUUGGUGUGCCUUUGUAUAACAGUCAUUGCAAUUAUGAUCAUAAUGUUCUAUAAGACCAAAAACCAUAAGCUUGUUCUUGGUUACUAGUGUUUUGUGUUUGUAAUAAAAUGUUUUUAUGGUACUGAAAUGUUUGUUUGGCAAUGAUAAUCAGUCCUAGUGUUUUGUCUUAGUGUUGUGAUUGUAAUGAAAUGCUACUAGAUGCUUGUUUAACAAUGAGAAUCACCAAAAUGAAACUCAUUCAUACAUUAUAAAACUUGUGUCACAAAGACAAGUCGAAACCACAAAAUGAAAUCGAUACUAAGCUUAUGUCAUAAAGACAAAUCCAUUAUGUCAACCACCAAAAAUAAACUUAUGAGAAAGCUUAAGUUCAAACAACAACAAAAAGAAACUUGUGACUAAUCUUGUCUUGAACACUCAAACCAUGAUGCAAAUCCACCAAGUCCUUGUGGUUGAGCAUGUGGCUCAGUUUGUGCUUGUGCUUGUGGUUCUGUUUGGGAUUGUACUUGUGAUGCUCCACCUGUCUCCCUUGGUCUUUCUGAUGUUCCGCCUGUUGCCCUUGGUCCUUGUGAUCGAAUAUGAGAUUGUGAUCCUUGAUGAGGUUGUGAUCCGUGUAUUUGCUCUUGCGAUUCGAGCACUUGAGAUCGUGAUCCUUAAUGAGAUUGUGAACUUUGAUGAGGUUGUGAUCUUAGCACUUGUGAUUCCUCCUAAGUUAAAUAUGACAGUCUGAACAGUUGCAUGAUUAAGUGAGUUGUAAAACAUAUAAAAAAAAACAAGAAUACAAACCUGAUUUAUUCGUGGAUGACCUCUUGGUCUCUUUGGUGGAAUCAGAAUAGUGGCAUUUUUGCAGCUUUGCUUGUUUGCCCUUGUUGAAGGCAGUUAGAGCAUGUCAUGAUUCUCUUUUGCAGUGGCAUCUUGUUCUUAUUUGAAGAAGAAGAAGUCUCAUUUCUUCCUUUUCUCCUAACAUAAUUACUCGGUCUUCCAACAUUUCCUUUUGUCCAUGGUGGUGGCAAAACAGGGAGCCUAUUGGUUUUAGGCCACAAUGGCAUACCUUGGACAAGGCUAAUACCAUCUUUAUAAGUUUUUCGCCAGAUUACCUUUGUGUAAAACUUGCUCACAUAGUCUGCAACUGUUUCUCUUCUUCCUAUUAUCACAGGUGUCGCAUAAAUACAUGGGAUCCCCACCAUCUACCACUUCCUGCGACCACAAGUUCUCUUCUCCGUAUCAACAUAGUAGCUAACACCAUUCACAUCAAUUUGAUACAAAUUGUUUCUGGACAUAUAUCUCUCGCAAUUUCUAACCCCAACUAUCAUUUUCUCAAUCUCAAGAUGGGCUCUCUUUGUGAACCUUGUCUUCAAUUUGUCAGCAAUGAUAUACGUCUUCGUAGUUAUGACCAUGCAUUACCUCUGGAUGUACUCUAGCUAAUCCAACAAAGGCUUUCUCCUAGCCUGUUUAAUAGUCUUAUUAAAAGACUCACACUGAUUAUUGAGGCUGUCAUUGCAACGUGUCCAAUUCUAAAGAAGGCUCUCGACCAUGUCAUUGGACUAGUAAGUUGCGAGUGGCAUGCGCAUGAGGAUUGUAUCUCUUUAGCUCUUCCAUAUUAUUCAUGAACACUUCUUCAGUGUAGCUUCAAAUUGUUUUUCAAAGAGACAUUGUAGUUCUAUCUCAUGGUUGUCUCUCUUCCAAUUGUCCAUUAUAUGCCUUGAAUAUUGUCGAUGCUCAACUUCUGGAAGUAUGGUAUUGAUAGCUUUGACUAGACCCUGUAAAAUAACACAAAAACAUAAGCGUAAACCCUUCAUAAAAGACAUUAAACUGAAGCAAAAGAUGAUAAAAUUAACUGAUUAUUUAUCUGAAAUGAUAACUAGAUGUUGCAUUUCACAGUCCCAAACUAGUAGAGAGCUGUCUCAAAAACCAGUCCCAAUUAUCAUUGUUUUCUAUCUCAACAACUGCCCAAGCUAUAGGAACAAUCCUCUUAUCUCCAUCUCUUCCAACUACAGCUAAAAGGUGACCUUUUACAUCCCAUUUUAGAAAACCCAUCUAUUCCUAUCACAGGUCUACAAGUUCGCUUCCAAGAAUCCUUUUGAGAUUUAAAGCAGAUAUAGCACCAGAGAAAAGAAUCCUUUUGUGAUAUAAAGCAGCUAUAGCAUCAGAGAAACCUUUGCUUGCUUCCAAUAAAAAGCCCUACUGUUGUCUCUAUCUCAAACUCUGUCUCUGGGUUCUACUUUAAAACCUCCGCUUGAUAAUCUCAUAUUCUUGAAAAGUGAUCAUUAUGAGUAGCAUGUCAUGCUUUCAACACUUUGGUCUUGGCCUUUGCACAUUGGUCUGGAGUCACAUCCAAAUUGAAUUCUCUCUGAAUCUCAACAACCAUCUCGUUCUUUGAAAUAUUUGGAUUCACUCUCAGCCUUUCAUCAAACAAAAGUGCAAUGGAAGACCGCUUCAACAUCUUUGAAUAUCCUGACCUAACACAAGUAUGCAUAUAAAAUCUUACUUGCAUCUUAUGUUUUGUCUUCUCAUACGAACAAUAUACUUUCCAACCACAUUUAACACCAUCAACACCAAUUUAUGACCACUUCGCAGCAACAACCAUAGAUUCAGACCCAUAAAGAGAAAUGGUAUACCAUGUCUUUAAAGAGUACAUCAAAAGAACACGCUUGAAGUCGUGUUUAUAUCCUCUUCACCGCGUAAACCACCAUUAUAAUCGUUAUCUCCACCACCAACCACAUCAUCAACGACAUUGCAGUCUUCAUCACCAUACACGGCGCAGUCUUCUUCAUUUUUCAGGGUCAGGCUCAAAUGUAGGUUCUUCAUCCUCCUCUUUUUAAUGUCUGACUCUUCUUCGUUUUUGUUUUCAAAGCCGCUUUGAAACUCGAGCUUUAACUACGAUAGAAGACUCUACUACGCCUACAGCCGGCAGAGCUAGAACUCCGUUAUCAAACUCUAAAACUGCUUCCGCUGGUGGAGCUCGAACAACAUCUUUGGUGUCAUCUUCGCCUCGUGGUGGAGCUUCAUCAUUGUCUAAUUUGCCUUCCAUUGAUACAAUCUAGGACUCCAAGGAUACAAAUUCAAGAUGAAAUCAAAUCAAAAUCGCGAUUUCGCCAAAGUAAGAAUUAGGGAUUUGGUUUUUGGAAAUUAGGGAUUUUGAAAUCAAAAUGGGAAUUUCUGUUUCAGUUUAUGAAACGACAUUGUUUUAGGCAUUAACAGAAAAAAUUAACGUCUGCUUACAGGGGUUAUCGGAUCUGUUAAUGCAAGUUAACGUCUCGGGGAUUUUGGUCAGGUCAACUUUAUGUUUUGUGUUAAAUGGCGGGUCAACGUCUUUAUCAUGUUUUAUUUGGCCGACCUAAAAGUUCACGUAUAAAAUGGCCACUUUUGAAAGUUCACGUAUAAAACGACAUUUUUCCCUUUUCAAAAACCUAAUUUAUUUCGCAUAAUUAUUGUUCGUUUUGAAAAGUAGGUUUUGAUUUAAUAUUAAAUUUAUUCGGGGAAAAAGAAUUAUACAUUUACAAGUAGGAAAAAUGGGUAAAAAAAACCUCACCUUUCCCAAAUACAUUUAAAAAAACCUCAACUUUUUGUAGGUUUUUAAACCCUCACCUUUUCAAAAAUGGUAAAAUAACAAUUAGCAUUAUUAAACCAAAUAAAUACAAAUUAAAUACUAAAUAAACUAUUAUAUUAAGACAUAAAAAACAACAUAAUUUAUAAUCUAUCUUUUCCAAAUUUGAGUUUAGGAUUUUUUUUCUUCUAGAAUUUAGUUGUUUUUUGUGAUAUAAAAAAUAAGUUUCAUUGCCAUUAGAAAUUGGUAUGUAAACUAAAACAAUUUAUAACAUAGCACAUUUUAUUUUAUUUGUGUUCAACUAUGUUCUAACCUUUGAAGUUUUGGAUUUAAAAUGGAUAAAAUUUAUUAACACAAAUUUGAUCUAAACUUGAGUGACCUAAUAUUUGUUCUAAACUUGUGUGAUCAAAACUUUAUUCUAAACUUAAGUGUCCAAACCAAAUAAAAUUUUAUUAAAUAUAUUUUAUAUUUAGUUAUUACAAAAUUAGUUUAGUUUUACGUUGAUGAAUUUCUUGAACUCAACCAAAUUAAUCUUGUUUCAGUUCACUGCAUAUGUAGAAGAAUAUAUAUCUAUAUAUAUAUACAUAUAUCAUACCUAAAAUAAAAUAAUUAUUUUUAUCCAAAAUUUAAUUAAACUUACACUCGAAACAAAAUAAAUAAACUUUGAAUAGACUUUGGAUAUGUUAUCUUCAGUAUGAAACCAAUUGUCUGAACCAAAUUUAAAUUGUUUUCACAUAAAACAUUUUACUAGAAGAAAAUAUUUAAGAGCUAUGUCUUUGGUUAGAUUAGAAUCGACAUAUUUCGUUUUCAAGAUUGUUUAGUGGUAGUUUGUUGUUUUGCGUCAAGUUUUUUUUAAUGUUUUCUUUUCCUAUUUUUGUCGGGUUCAUCUCUUGCUUUUGGACCGGUCAAUCUAUAACUUUUCACCUUUAUAAUAAUAGGUAAAGCGGUUGUGUGACUCUUUCAUUUUCCUCUACUCAAGUUUAAGACUAAAUCUGGUCAAAUUUUUAUUAGACUAGUUAUGAUGGUUUGUUAUAAACCAUUUCACAACUGUUGAAAAAAUUAUUUCCACUACAAUGGUUUAUUGUAAUCGAAAAGUAAGUGAGAUGGCAAAUUUAUCAACACUCAUGAGAGUAGAAGAAAGAAGAUAAGUGUGACAAGUGUUAUAUUUUGAUUGGUUGCUUUUUUUUUUUGGACAAAAGCUUGUUUUUAUUCAAUUAAGAGAGAAACAAGUACAAAGGAACAAGGAUUCUAAGAUCCCAAAGUUUAAAGGACAACAAAGGUAGGCAUUCCCAACACCAUAAGAAGAAAAGCUAACACACAAAUAAGGUACAUCAACAAUGGUUCCAUGAGAGCUAUAAUCCAAACACUUGAAGGGAAUUUGUUACUUUUAAGAUCAAGGAUUGUUGACAAAUCUUCCACGAACAAAGUAGUGGAUGAGAGUAUGGUUACUGUCAAAAGACUUAGUAACGUUAACAAGGGCGCCAAAGACAUGAAUCUCGUCGGGACGAGAAGUACUACACCAAGUAGUGCUUUUGCAAAGGUUCGAACAAGGUUUUGGUAAAGGAAGGAGGAUCGUCGAGGCUUAGAAAGAUUGAUGCGAGACCGUAACAGAACAGGUGGGUCCUCUCUCCCAAGAAGACCAAGGAGAUUAAGGAAUUCCACACAAAGCUUGUAGUCGGUUUGCCACAUGAAGAAAAGGCCAGACAUGAGGAAAUUGAGUAGAUAUCACUUUGAGGCACUAGUCAAUAGGGAGGGAUCUCUCACAAGAGAAUUGAGAAGUUCAUGUUGAAGCUUGAUCCAAACCCGGGGAGUAAUGGUGAAUGGGAGGUUCUUGAAGUUGGUCGAUAUAGUUGUCAGUAUGAAAUACUUUGAUAGAGAGUUUUGGUGACUAGCGUCACAUCUCCGACAGAUUGGACUAAGAAACACUAGACCAUGAAUCUUCAAAACGGAAUCAUAAAACAUUGCCCUAGCUAAACCUAGCACCAAGGUUCUCAGAUAAUAUUUGUAGGAGCAUAUCAACGAGGGUGAUUCGUCAUUCAAGUGGUGUCCCUAACCCCUCAAAAUAAAGAAACGAUGUCUACAUUGGGAUAGACUCGGCAAAUUGCAGAUGGAGGAAUACCUGGAUUUUUGUGAUAAUAGGUUUGGGUCGCAAUUUAUGGGCUUGGGCCGCGAGGGAAAUGGGCCAACAUUGGAGACAGGGCCCAUCAAAGAAAACCCUCGAUUCCAGAUUGUUGGGCAAGGAGCGUUGGGAGUGCGGCGGCUACGGUAGAGAGGUACGAAUUGCACAAUUGAAGCAGACGUCUCUGAUGUAAAUAGAGUUAGGGUGAACAAGCUGCAUGACGGGUCCGGCGCUGAGGCUAUAACAACGGCUAAUGGUUUGGCAAAAGAACGUCGGAGAAGCCUUAGGGAGCCGAAAGGUCCCGCAGAUCUAGUAACGAUGAGGAGGCGGAGACAAGGCUCAGGUUGGAAGGAUUGGUCGCCUAUGAAAUUGAAAGCUUCACAAACUGUUUUCUUUGAUUCGCAAGGUUUGGACAGAGAGUGUAGCUUGCUCGGAGGCCACAUUUUGCCUAUGUCGGAGAAUACUGCUUCAAAGAAGAUUCAACAGCAAAGAAGAACUCGAUAGAUUUGGAUUAAAAGGUUUGCAACAGAAGAAAACUAAAUUACAACGAAGAAGUAGAUGAAAGAUUGAGGAAAUAGCUCGAGAGAUGAGAGGGAGGUUCCGAUGCCGGCGAGCAUUUGCUCCACCGACGUCGGAAAGAUGAAGGGAGAUAGUUUCCUCGAUAUUAGUGUCUAUUAGCUCCACCGACGUUGAAAAGAUGAAGGGAGAUAGUUUCCUCGAUAUUAGUGUCUGGGAGAGAAACUCUUUAAAAUCUUAGUCUCGCAAAAAAUUUGAUUGGUUGCUUUGAUUUCUAUAUUUUUUUUCUUAAUUACAUAACUUUAAUUAUUUCAUAAUAUUUAUAAAUAAACAUAUCAAAAUUUACAAUUUUUCAUUCUCUAUAAAUAAACACUAUCUUCAUUUGAUUUGGACAAAACAAAAAUAAUCUUUCUUUAGAAAAAAAAAAGUUUAGUCUCCAAUAAACUUUUGUUUUAGCUUUAAAUAUACUUUUAUCUAAAUGGAUCCAAACAAUAACCUUUCAACACCCAAAACUUUUCUAAUUACUUUUAAACUAUCCAAAUCCCAACAAUUAUUAGUUGCAGGUGUGUCAGAAGGACAUUGAACGAGCAUUUGGAGUGUUGCAGGCUCUAUUUAAAAUUAUUCGCGAACCAGCUCGACUGUGGGACAUAGCCGAUUUGACUAUCAUCAUGAGGUCGUGUAUCAUAUUGCAUAAUAUGAUUGUUGAUGAUGAACGACAGACGUAUACUCAACAUUGGACUGAUUAUGAUCAAUCUAAGGCAAGUGGGCCGAGUACAUAACAACCAUUCUCGACCAAAGUGCUACUUGUAUUUGCAAAUCAUCUGCGUGGUAGAUCCAAGUUGCGUGAUUCAAAUGUACACCGCAAAUUGCAAGCAAAUCUAGUCAAACAUAUAUGGGCACAAUUUGGAAUUUUCCAUGGUGAAUGAGAUUUUUAAGUUUGUGAGUUGAGAUUAAUAUACUAAUUAAGUUACAAAUGUUUCCUUACUUGUUGUGUGCGUAUUGUAUUGCAUUUUAAAUCUAUGUUCAUUGUAUGUGUUUUAGUAAUGAUUAUUUUUAUUUCUAGUUUUUAUUAUUUAUAAAGUUUUUUUAAAAAAUAUAUACAAAUAUUAAAACAAAAACUAUUUUAUAAAAUUUAUUUAAUAUUUAAUUAUUUAAAUUUAAUUUAAUAUUAACGGUGAUUAAUAAUAUUUAAUCACAAAAAACAUAAACAUAAAUAAAAUGAAAAAUAUAAAAUAAAAAUUGUGGGAUAAGGUGUUGUAAUUUUAUCAAACAAAACUAUUGUAGAGGGAAAAAAUUAUGUAGGUGUGGAAUAACGAUGUGGAAGAGAGAGAAAACGAUGUGAAGUGUUAAAAGGGAAAAAAAGGGUGUUGUAAAUGGGUAACCAUUGUAGAUAGUCUUAGGAAGUGAAUGGUGACUUUAAGAUUUGCAGAUUUCGAAAGAAAAAGAAAAAAAUGCACUAAUGUCACCAAUCAGACAUAUGUGUGUAAUUUGUUUUUUUUUACAGAUAAUUUGGCACACACAUUUCAAAGCAUGUUAAUACACUAGGGAUAAAAGAAACACACUCUACUAUCGUCCAAGGGAUAUUUGGCAGCGCUUAACUAAAAACUUGCAUUACACAGUAAGUAAUAAAUCAAUUAUUUAAUUAAUAAUAAAAUGUACCUAUAAAUCAGAUCAUGUACUCUAAAACUAUUCACACAUUACAACCAAAAACAACAUCCUCUCAUAUUUCGCUCCAAUCCAAAAGAAAAAAAAAACAAUCUCCCACCCUUUCGUCAUAUAUUACAACAUUUAAAUGUAAAUUACUUUUACUAUACUAGUAUAAUAAUUACUUAUAACAAAAUAUUUCUAUGUAAUUAAGGUCUCUUUAUAAAUAAAUAGGACUGAAAUUAAGUAUAUAAAAUUGUUCAAAAUUUAGUAAAUCAUAAAAUGUUAUAUUUAUGUACAUAUUUAUAUGACUAUGUUUUAUUUUUAUAUUCAUAACAUCAGUAUUAAAUUUUAAUCAAAUCAUAGAAAUUUUUAAAUAUGUAUAAUAAAUGGUUGUGAUAGUAUUUACUAAUCAAGAUGUAUAUAUAUUUAUUAAAAAGAGAAAGGAAAAUUUUGAAGAUAUACAAAAUUACUAUUUUUUUAAAUUAUAGUUUAGUAUAUUUAUAUUAGAUGGUAAUAUGAUAUUAUGAAUUUUUUCAAAACUUAAUUAAAUCAAUUAAUUUAAUCAUAUCAAAAGUUACUUAAAUCAAUUCAUUUCCAUCAUUAUUAAAUUUUAAACAAAUCAUAGAAAAUUAAAAUAUGAAAAGAAAUGGUUGUGAUAGUACAAUAAAGUGAUUCCGAGUUCCCUUUGCCUCCGUCGGAGAAGUAUUAUCUAGUUGAUUAUGACUACCCAAACAAAUAAGGAUUUCUAGUUCCUUAUAGAUCGUCAGGAAAUCGAGUUGUGAGAUAUCAUAUGUCUCAAUUUUAUUUUGGUCCUCCUCCUAGAAACAAACAUGAACUAUUUAAUAUGUCAUGCAUCUUUACGUUCUGUUAUCGAGAGAACUUUUAGAGUUUCGGAAAAGAAAUGGAGGAAUCUUUUUCAUUUUCCUAGAUAUAAUAUUCAUAUUCAAAAAAGAGUGGUAAUGGUUAUAGUGUGAUUACAUAAUUUUAUCAGAAUUUCAAACUUCUCAGAUGUAGAUUUUCUUGAUGUAAUGACAGAGACAAAUAUAAACUACAGAGAUUAUGAUCAUCAUUUAGAUGACAUAGAAGCAACAGAGAUAACAAAUGGAGAACAUAUGAUGCCAAUAAAAGACAAUAUUGCAAAUAUGUUAUGGCAAAAUCAAAAUAAUAUAAAAUAUUUUUUAAUGUUUUUUAUGAUGAAAUUAGUUAAGGCAUGUAACAAUAUGUAUGUUACAAAAUUAAAUUUAUAUUUUGAUCAAUUUUUGUAUUAGUGGUUUAUAAAUAUCUGUUAUUGUUUAUUUAUUAACACAAAAAAUUAAUUAAUUAUUAAUAUAUAUAUAUAUAUAUAUAUAAUUUAUAAUUCGCACCGCAUGUAGUUUUUUCACCAAUCAAACAUUAUUUUGUACCGCUUAUUUUGAAUAAACCGUACUUAUCCCGCAAAUAUAUUUCUCCUACACGAACCGCAGUUUAACCGUACUACACUUCAAUAACGCUUUCCCCGCACUAUAAAAACCACGGUUACCAUUCGGACCCUUAGAGCUUGUUUAAAAAAUUGCUAGGCGUUAACCGGGCAUUCGGGGACUUAUCGAUAUUAGUUUUUAACAUUUUAAUAUUGAUAUAUACAUAUAAAUUAAAUAUCGGAAUAUAUGACAAUGGAAUUAAUUUGGUUGAGUGUCAUCUUUUUUUAUUUGGAAAUUGCACAAUCUAUACUCUGAGGAGUCGUUAUUUAGGUUCCCAAAAAAGCAACUGUUUGGCUGGUACUGUGGAUGUGGAAAUUGCGCAUGUAUGAAAAUAUAUUGUGUGAGACGGCUUCAUUAAAAUCUUAUUAGAUUAUUAUUGUUCUUCGCAUGUGGUUUUUGUUUUCUAUAUGUUUUUUAUUUAUUGAUUUAUGGGGAAACCAAUCAUCAUCAUCAUUUCCCUUCCAAUACGGAGAGCUUGGCAAUGCGAAAGAUUUGGAUGGCAAAUGUUUGGUAUAAAUUUUUCGACCCGUUAAUAUUAUAAUCUUGAUAUUAUUUUUGUUAACGUCAUUAAUCUUUUGCAGACGUAUGUGGAGCCUAUCAUUUUCCCUGACGUGGAGAUGAACCCGAAAGAAGAUUUAACCUGGUCUGACGAUGAGGAAGAUGUGAUGGGUUGAUAAUAUCGUCAUGUUAGUUGGUAAAGGGAUUACUUUUCAGCUCCCUCCAUUCUGAUUUGCCAACUCCUACAAAUGCUAAGGUUAGUUAACUGAUAUUUAUUUUAUAAUCGUUGUGUUUAGUAGUUUAGCAACUAAGUAUUAUAUGUGAGUAGCUAUAUUUUUUCUUUAUUUUUGUAGCUUUUUUGCCUCUGUUUCAGAGUUUUCAAUUAUCUCCAAGAUGUUGCAGGUAAACAAAUCUGUUGAGGUCCUUGAUCAUCGAGAUGAAGAACCGGUUUAUUUAUUUACACUCCAUUUUUGUUUAACUUUACUGUACAUUUUUGUUAACCCCCUCCAUAUUUUAUUAGCCGGUAAGAUUGUUAUCAUUCAUUUUCUUUUUAAUUAUUUUAUUCUGUCUUGCAGACCAAAAUCAAUCCUUCAAAAUUAACCACUACAGUCGAGGAAGAAAAGGAUUCUAAGGAGGUUAGAUAAUUCUUCCUUGUUUUUAACUUUCAUUUGGUUAAAUCCUUAACCGGUGAUAUAUUGCAUGUUUCAAUUUUAGGAUUUUACCACUCCACCCCUGUCAACCCAGUCUCGCUCUAACGUGAAGGUUAUCUUCUAACUAUGAUGUUAUCGCUUAUUGUUUAUAUUCAUCUUCCACGUUUGUAGGAUGUGGUGUGCCCUGCAAGUGUGUAUGCGGAUUAGCUGUUAAAAAAAAUAUUUCCAAGACGCAAGAAAAUUCGGGCUGCCCCUUCUUCCGCUGUGUAAGCAAAAGAGACGUGAGUUAUUUCCUCUCUAAAAACGAUGUUAUUAGCUUUUCUGGUAGCUACACGUUUUGCUAGUUAACCUAUCAUUCUUUUUGUAGGGACAUUUGUUUAAGUGGGUUGAGGAUGUUGUAUAUGAAGAAGUGGAAGAUGCAUUGGUUAGACUUGUAUCGAUUUAAAAUGAGGUAAAUGAUUAAAAGCGCAGGUCAUCCAGUUUUGUGUUGCUAUAAAAGAGUUGAAGGCAGAUUCAGUGUCCGACCAGUUGGUGAUGCUUAUGUUGAAAGUGGGCUUGCUUUUCAGAUUUGUCUUCUCUCUUUUUGUAGCUUUUGUUAUCGCAACACUUCUUAAAAUAGUCGAUAUUAAGUUCAUUAGUAGUUUUUAAUGUCUAUCUUUGUAAUGUUUCAUAGUUUCUAUAAUUCCCUAUGUUUAAGAUAUUAUAUUUGUUAGUCGUUAACCAUGUAAUAUAUACCUUGUAUCAAUCUUCUGUCUAUAUAAUAUUUUAUAACUUCUCAUUUAUUUCUUUAUUUUUGUACCAUUUGCACAUUCUUUAGGCGAUAUUUAUAACCAUUUUAAAACUUAUCUUUUAUUUUAAUUUUUUGGUAGCAUUUUCACAUUUAUUAAGCGAUAAUCUAAUUCUUAGCCAUCCAGCUGUGGUCCUAUCUUCUUAUUUUAGGACGCUAGUUAUCUUUUUUCUUAGUAUUGCAAAUUUUAAGAAGAGGGUCUAUAUCUUGGUACAUAUUUUGUUACAGAAUAUCAUUCAACAUAAACAUAUAUUUAACAUUCAGAAGGAAGGUUUGUUGGGAUCGUCCCUGAUUGCAGAUAAUACACAUUUUUUGGAUCAGUAAUUGUACGUAUAUACAUUGAAAAUUUUCUGAUCUCCGAAUUCUUGUUAUUUAUAAAACAUGACUUCUCGCGAGUCUUCUAAGCACGGAACCAUCCGUUCAAACCCUCCCAUAGUCCAAAAAAACAGUCCUCUCCUUCCAUCUUCAUCCGCAAAAAAAAAAUUUUCCUCGUCGCUUACUUGCCUCCAUGUACCACAUUAAUUUUUUGAUUAGCAGUCAUUUUUCUUUUUAAUCAGAUAACACCUACUUUAUCGACACUAGUUUCUUCAUACACCAUGGUAAAAGUUUUGUUAUCGGCUGCUUUUUCAAAAAAUGAUAAGGAGCUAUAUAUAUAGAUAGCAAACCAAAGAAAGUUGCCCUAACUACACACCUGAGACUUAAAUGCUCUAUGUUUCUAUCUUCUUUCAAUAUUUAUCGUUUGCAGUGGUUUAUAUGUUAGUUGUUUCAGUUCUUGUUGUUGCAGUAAUGUCGAUAUGGAGAUAAUAAAUAGGCAAACAUCUAUCUUCCAUAUCUGCACAAUCGAUUAUGUAUCAUAUGUAAUCAUUACUUUUUACAUUUUUUUAUUAGUUUGACCAGGGGGCGCAAUAUCUUCGAAGAUUACAGAGCAUUUAAUGCUCGUGAUCUUGCGGAAGGAGACUAGUGAUCCUCUGCUUGUAUAGGAACAAUUAUGUCAUAUUUAAUUUGCAAGAAAAUUUUCACCUAAAUAACGAAAUGAUAUGUAUAGAUCCUUAAUUAUUUUCUCCUGUAGGUAUAUAUAUUUCAUUCACUCUUUUUAGUUUAAUGAAAUAGUAAAUGACAAUAUUAUCCUCAUCUUAUUCUUUAGAUCUUAGCGACUGCAACCCUAAUUUUUGUCGUAUCGUUUUUCACAAUUCUUAUCAUUUUUUCUUACCCUUUAAUGAUUUAUACCCAAAUAUAAUAGAUCUACAACCUAAAGACCGAUUUAAAACUUGUAUUUCUUUUUAAAAAAUGAGUUUUUCUAAGAGUUUUCAAUUUUUUUUGGCGAUUUCAACAAAUCGAGGCGGUGGUGGUCUGAAGAGCGCUUAGUUGGACGAGUAAUCGGUUAGACGACCAAUUUUUAGAACAAGGGUCUUGACAAUCCACAAUGCAAGUGUUGAAUUAUUUAUUCAAUUGUUGAACCUUCACAUUGCACAUGUUGAAUAGUUUAAAAAAUCUUACGUGGAUUCAACUUGGUUGAAAGUAUUCAAUAUGUUAUAAAGAAAAAAUUUGGGCCCGCGCAUGCCACAUGUCAAUAAAUGAGUAAAGGAUGUGUUUCAAACUCGGAGAAAGGAGAGCGUAUUGUCCAAACCUUUUUCUUUUUACUUUUAUUUUUUUUUGCAAAAAGAAGAGAUUAUUGAGAUGCUCACACUUGCUAUAUUUUCAUUAGAUAUUAAGAUUUUGGAGAUUUUAUUUCUAUCUUAUUUAUUUACAAUCAAUUAUUACAUACCAAACAAUUUUUUUUUAAAAACUUAUAUUUAUAUGAAAAUUUAUAAAUUUUUAAACUCUAGAAAUAGAGACUUAGUUCAUUUUAUUUGGACACAUAAAAAAUAUUAUUUCUACCAUAAUUUUCUUAUUCUUCUCCCAUAAACUCUUGGUUAUAUCCUUUUUUUUUAUGGAUUCUAAUAAAAUCCCUAUGCAAAAUUAUACUAAUUUUUCCUUUCCCUAUCCUAAUUCCAACAAUAAUCCUACGCAAAAUUCGACUAAUUACGUUUUUCCUUAUCAAAAUCCCAACAAUUAUCAAUUUCAAAAUCUAUCUUUCAACCAACCUCAAAAUUUCCCAAAUUAUGAUUUUCUACCAAAUUUUUCUAUGCUCUCAUCUGUUCCAAACUAUAAUUCAUAUUAUAGAUCGAUUCCAAAUUCAUCUCAACCACCUCUUUAUGAUUUGAGGUUGUGAUUUUCAUUGACAUCAAAAAGAAAAAAAAAAAAAAUAUCACAGAAAGGAGACAAUGAAUAUGAUUAAUAUUUAAUUGGUAAACUAUUAGAUUAGGCGGGGGUUUUCUCAAAAAUUGUCUCUUUUGUAGGACUGUUGUCACCAAUAUUUUCAGUAUCUUUUACUUUUAUUAAUUUUUAAUAAAAUUUAUGAUAAUAAAAAAAAUGAAAAUAAUCGUAAAUAAAAGAAAAAAAGAGAGUUGUGGGUUCUUUCUUUUUAGUUACCCACGCAUCGCUGUCGAAAGAUUAAUUAUGAAAUCAGAUGUUUGGUUGAGUAUAAUAGUAAUGCAUGUCAUUAGUUUAAAUUUAUAAUAUUAAACAAAAUUAUAAAUAAGAUAUUUGAACAAAACAAAAUUAAGUUAGUUUAAACGUUAAUUGGAAACCAAAUAAGAGAUCUGUUAGGAAAAAAGAAAAUAUAUACCAAAUAAGAGAUACAGGAAAUCAGAAAUUUUAAUAUUAUGUGUUUGAAUCUUCUCACCAAAAAAAAUUAUGUGUUUGAAUCUUCUCACCAAAAAAAAUUAUGUGUUUGAAUCUAAUUGAUUAAUGGACACGGUCUAGUAAAUUAUAAUUUUUUUGACCCGCGAAAUAUAGUGAAACAGAGUUUAUCUCUAUACAACAAGACAAAAAAGAAGUUCUAAGAUCAAACUCUGUUUGAUAUACAAAAAUUAUAUUGUAAAUGAAAAUGGAACUUUGAGAUUGAUCUACAACAAGUCUGCUACACUCAUCACAAACGUAAUGUGAUUAUACACAUCCACGUUGGCCGCAAAAACUAAGGAUCUUGUAUCAUCUGGAUCAACAGACAAAAUCAUAUUGCAAUAGUCAGCAGCAUCACGUGCGAGACUAAGGUCGUCAUCAGUCUCAUCAACAUCACCAUUGCCCAUUGACCGCUGUGCCUUCAUUAGCCCCUCGACAACAGAAUCUUUAUAGUUCUCCAUACAACUCUUGAAACAUGGCUUCUUAGGAGAACCAAUGAGAAACUGUGUGUGCUCUGCCUUCUCCAUGGCUAGAGAAAGAGCCGCCUUAGCCAACUCUAAUACAGUCGAUGCGGAUUUCGUGCGAUGAUCUAACGUUAGGGAUUUGAUACAUUCUUCUUCUAGGGACGAGAAUGACGCGGUGCCUUUACAAGCCUUUGAUAUCAGUAAUGAUGGAUAUGGACAUGUCUUUGGUUUGGUUGAUAAAUGGGUAGCAAUGUUGGAUUUUGCAUUGGUAUAUGGCCACCGCGAGAGGAGAAGGAAGGUUAGGAUAUGGAUUGAUAGGUAUGCAUGAGAAGCAUAUAAACAAACCAUCGUUUUAUAUGUUCAACAAAGCUUGUUCUUUGACUAUAGGUUUAAAUGAAAUAGUAGAUUGAAGUUUGUACAUAUAUUAACUUUUGUUGUGUCAAUGGUUUAAAUUGUCCAUUGUUUAGUUCCACAAGUUUUAAACAUGAUAUGUUAUUUAUAGGUUUGGAAUGAACGAUAGAGGAAAAAUAAACUUGUCAACGCUAAUAAUAAAAGAGUGUAUCGAAAAAGAGAGAAAAAAACAAAAAUUCAUUGUGAUUCUUUUGUUAUUUUGUUUUUCAAUGAUUCAAUUCAAUGUCUUAAUUUCUCUCCUAACAUAAAAGUUAGUUAUGGGCAUUCGGUUAUCCAGUUUCGGUUCGUUUCCAUUCCGUUAUCGUUCUUUCGGUUCUAGAGUUUAGUAUCCAUUCAGUUAUUUUGAUAUUUCGGUUCGUUUCAGUUCUUACAGUUCUAAAAUUUAAUAUACAUUCGGUUAUUUUGCUUUGAGUAUUUUUGGAUAUUUCUGUUAUUUUUAUAUUUUUGAGUAUUUUUACUAUUUAUAUAUACUUUUUAGUAUUUUUAAUUAUUUAGUCUAGAAAUGACUAGUAUUUUUGAAAAUAUAAUUAUAUUUCGGAUACUUUUGGUUAUCCAAAAUAUUUCAGUUUGUAUCCACUCGAUUUCGGUUCUUUUGGUUAUAGAAUUUUAAUAUCCGUUAGGUUAUUUUCAAAUUUUCGGUUUUGCUCCGUUUUUUUACAUCGGUUGCGGUUCGGUACAUUAGGUUCGUUUUAUAUGCCCAAGCCUAAUAAAAAUCAUGUUCAUUUUGGUAUUUAUAGCUUUAGUAGACACAUGUUUAGUAAAACAAAUUCUCAAACAAGAAGAUUUAUGGAAUACCUUGUAAGACUACUUAGACUAGUUACAAUGGUUUGGUGGUGAAAAAAACAUUUCCACUACGAUGGUGUGCUGUAAUCAAAGCUAGGUGAUGUGGCAAAUUUAGUAUUGAUAAAUAUCAAUACCCGUGAAAGUAGAACAGAGAAGAUAAGUGUGACAAGUGUUAUAUUUUGAUUGGUUGCUUUGAUUUUUAUUUUUUUUGUUUCAUCUCAACUAUAUAACUUCAAUUAUUUUAUAAUAUUUGUACAUAAAAAUAUCAAAAUUUAUAUCAAAAUUUCUAAUUUUACAUUCUCUAUAAAUAGAGACUAUUUUCAUUUGAUUUGGAUACAGAAAAAAAAACUAUUUUUAGACCCAAAAAAGGUAUAAUCGCCAAAAAAAAAACUUUUGUUUUACCUUUAAAUAUCUUUUUAUCUAAGUGGAUCCAAACAAUAACCCUUUCAACACCCAAAACUCUUCUAAUUACCCUUUUAACUAUGCAAAUCCCAACAAUUAUCAGUUUCAAAAUCAAUCUCCUAACCAACCCCAACAAUUAUCAGUUUCAAAAUCAAUCUCCUAACCAACCCCAACAUAUAUCAAAUUAUGGUUAUCCACUAAAUUUCUUCAUGCCGUAAGCUGUUCCAAACUAUCGUCCAUUUCAUGGAUCGAUGAUGUCUUAUCCAUCUUAAACACCUCCUUAUUUUCCUACUCCAACAGGUAAUGAAACUGAUUCGAAUCUUGGAGCAACUGAUUUUCCCGAGUUUUCUACCCAAAUGGCUCUUGGUGGUAUUAGGGUAUUCAUGAAGCCAUUCCAGAUGCAAAGGAUUCAACUCCUUCUCGUCGGAGAAGUCCCAAAUGGACCACUGAUCAAAAUUUGGUUCUCCUGAGUGGGUGGAUUAAAUUUGGAAGAGACAGUAUUAUUGGCAAAAACUAAAAAUGUGAGUCAACUGGGGUAAAAUUGCUGAAUAUUGUAAUGAACAUUGCUCAUUUGAUCCUCCCCGUGAUGGAGAAGCAUUCAGAAAUCACUAUAAUUAUGUGAACAAAAGCGUGAACAAAUGGGCUGGCGCUUAUGAUAACGCUAAAUGUAUGCAACAAAGCGGGUGGUUGGAGGAUGAUGUAUUGGUAAAAGCGCAUGAAUUAUAUUCAAGUGCUGGUAAAAGAAGUUUCAAAUAGGAGGAAAUACUUAUUCUGGAAGCAGUGGAUCUAAAAGAGCCCACGAGAGUGAUGCUAGUGACUCAAACUCUGUAGGAUCUAGUGCUCGUCCAAUGGAAAGAGAUGCUGCUAAGAAAAAGCUAAAAAAAAAGGUAAAGGCGCAGCGUUGAAAGUGGUCAACGAAGAGUCGAACGAAUUUUAACAAUUCAAGGCACAAGAGUUGGAUAGGUUGGAGAAAAUAACUAUGAUGCACAGUGAAACAAACCAAUUGAUUAAGGAAAAGACUCAUGCUAAAAAGAUGAAGAUGUUUAUAGAGCUAACUGAAAAAGAGAAUCUCGAUGACAAGAGCAAAAAGCUAUUGCAACAAUUGAGCCACGAUCUAUUUGGAAAUUAAUUAUUGUCAAGUGGUUAUCUGUAUUUUGUCACUUCAUGCUUUAACGUGUGUUUGUCACUUUCUCCUUUAAUAAUUUGUAUUGUCAUGUUAUGCUUUAAUAAUGUGUGUUUGUCACUUUCUCCGUAAUUUGUAUUGUCUUCUAUGCUUUUUUUUUUUGUGCGAAAUAUUGUCUUAUAUGCUUUAUUAAUAUUAUCCAUGAUUUUAAAUAGAGAAUCUUAUCUUAUCCAUGACUUUUGGUUUGAAGCACUCAAUUCGAAUCCAAGGCACCAACAAUUUAAUUCGUUGUUUCCAUUUUUUUUAUAAAUUAGAACUCAUUCUUCCAUUGAUGUACAAACCAUAAAUCUUACCUUACUAAAAAUCUCAAUGGAUCCAUCAGAAUAUCCUUUUGACAUCAAAGCUUACAAGAGGCAGUCUGAAAUUGAAGAGAUGUAUAUCAUCAAUCGGUUUAGGGAGCGUCGAAACAAAAUAGGGGAAGACUAUCCACCUCGUAGCAAGAGAAAAUACUUUAAAAGAGACCAUGCAUCAGCAAAAUUAAAGAAUAUUGACGACUACUUUGCCAAUGAACCUAUAUAUGACGAUGCAAUGUUUCGUCGGUGAUUCCGGAUGAGAAAACAUAUUUUCUUUCGGAUCGUUGAAGACUUAUCAAACAGCGACAACUAUUUCACCCAACGAUAUGACGCAGCCAAGAAAGAAGGUAUAUCUCCAUUACCAAAAUAUACUACGACCAUGCGAAUGUUUGCAUAUGGUGUGGCAGCUGACGCGGUGGAUGAAUACAGUAAAAUUGGAGGUACUACUACUUUAGAGUGCUUGCGAAGAUUCUGUAAAGGAAUCAUAAAGCUGUAUGAGACAGAGUAUCUCAGAGCCCCAACUCAAGAUGACCUCCAAAGAAUUUUACGUGUUAGUGAGAUGCGAGGGUUUCCCGGGAUUAUUGGGAGUAUUAAUUGCAUGCAGUGGGAAUGGAAAACUUGUCCUACAGUGUGGGAAGGUCAAUUUACUCGAGGAGAUAAGGGAACCACCACUGUUAUUUCUGAAGCAGUUGCAUCUCAUGAUCUAUGGAUCUGGCAUGUUUUUUUGGAUGUCCGGGCACACUAAACGAUAUAAAUAUCCGUUCACCGGUGUUCGAUGAUGUUGAACAAGGAAAUACUACAAGAGUGAAUUUUUUUGUGAGCCAACAUCCGUAUAAUAUCGCUUACUAUCUAGCUGAUGGUAUUUAUCCUUCUUAUCCUACUUUCGUCAAAUCGAUUAGGCUACCUCAAAGUGAACCAGACAAGUUAUUUGUACAACGUCAAGAGGCGUGUCAUAAGGACAUCGAACGUGCAUUUGGAGUGCUGCAAGCUCGAUUUAAAAUCAUUCGUAAACCAGCUGGCCUGUGGGACAUAUUCGAGUUGGCUAUCAUCAUGAGAUCGUGUAUCAUAUUGCAUAAUAUGAUUGUUGAGGAUGAACGAGAGACAUAUGCUCAACACUGGACGGAUUAUGAUCAAUUUGAGGCAAGUGGGUCGAGUACACAACAACCAUUCUCGACCCAAGUGCUACUCCUAUUUGCAAAUCAUGUGCGUGAUAGAUCCAAAUUGCGUGAUUCAAAUGUACAUCACGAAUUGCAAGCAUAUCUAGUCAAACACAUAUGGGCACAAUUUAGAAUGUUCUUGUUGUCUGCUUAUUGUAUUUUUGUAUUUUAAAUUUGUGUUCAUUGUAUGUGUUUUAGUAAUAAUAAUUUUUUCUUCUCGUUUUAAUUAUUUGUAAAAGUUUUUAAAAAUAUUAUAUAAAAUAAAAACAAAUAUAAACACAACAAUACUUUAUAAAACUAUUUAAUGUUUAAUUCUUUUAAAUUUAAUUUGAUAUUAACGAUGGUUAAUAAUAUGUAAUCACAAAAAACAUAAACAUAAAUAAAAUGAAAAAUAUGGAAUAAAAAUGGUGGGGUAAGAUGUUGUAAUUUUACUAAACAAAAACUAUUGUAAAGAUAAAAAUUGGGUAGGUGUUGAAUAAUGAUGUGGAAGAAAGAGAAGAUG
rnacentral:lncRNA from 1 species